AUUGAACGCUGGCGGCAGGCUUAACACAUGCCAGUCGAACGAGUGGCGGACGGGUGAGUAUUGCUUUGGAAUCUGGCUUAUGGAGGGGGAUAAAUCCGGGCAACUGUAGCAAAUAACGCGUACCGUAGGAUGAGCCCAAGGGGGAUUAGGUAGUUGGUGAGGUACAGGCGACCCAAGCCGACGAUCUCUAGCGGGUCUGAGCGGGUGAACAGCCACACGGGGAAUGAGACACGGCCCAGACUCCUACGGGAGGCAGCAGUGGGGAAUAUUGCGCAAUGGGGGCAACCUGACGCAGCCAUGCAGCGUGAAUGAAGAAGGCCUUCGGGUUGUAAAGUUCUUUCGGUAGCGAGGCGUUAACUACAGAAUAAGCACCGGCUAACUCCGUGCCAGCCGCCGCGGUAAUUC
rnacentral:rRNA from 1 species